rnacentral:tRNA from 2 species
GUCCCAGUAGCUCAAUUGGAUAGAGCGUCCCCCUCCUAAGGGGAAGGUUGCAGGUUCAAUUCCUGCCUGGGACACCA